rnacentral:tRNA from 1 species
GCUCAAGUAGCUCAGCAGGUAGAGCACAUCCUUGGUAAGGAUGAGGUCACCGGUUCAAAUCCGGUCUUGAGCUCCA